UCGCGGCUUAUCACCGGCAGUCCCCUUAGAGUGCCCAACUGAAUGAUGGCAACUAAGGGCGAGGGUUGCGCUCGUUGCGGGACUUAACCCAACAUCUCACGGCACGAGCUGACGACAGCCAUGCAGCACCUUAUUCCGCGUCCAUUGCUGGAAGGGUAGCUUUCACCACCUGUCGCGGAACAUUCUAGCCCAGGUAAGGUUCCUCGCGUAUCAUCGAAUUAAACCACAUGCUCC
rnacentral:misc_RNA from 1 species